AUGCGUAUGUUUAGAUGGAUGUGUGGCCACACGAGGAAGGAUCGAGUCCGGAAUGAUGAUAUACGAGAUAGAGUUGGGGUAGCACCAAUUGAGGAGAAGCUUGUCCAACAUCGUUUGAGAUGGUUUGGGCAUAUUCAGCGCAGGCCUCCAGAAGCUCCAGUGCAUAGCGGACGGCUAAAGCGUGCGGAGAAUGUCAAGAGAGGGCGGGGUCGACCGAUUUUGACAUGGGAGGAGUCCGUUAAGAGAGACCUGAAGGAUUGGAGUAUCGACAAAGAGCUAGCUAUGAACAGGGGUGCGCGGAAGCUUGCUAUCCAUGUGCCAGAGCCAUGA
rnacentral:rRNA from 1 species